GUGUUACUCUCUCCGUCCAAUAAAAAAUGCCUCAAGUUUGUCAAAAUUUGAAUGUAUCUAGACAUUACUGAGUAUAUAGAUGCAUUCAAAUUUAGUCAAAGUUGAGACAUCCUUUGUUGGACGGAAUGAGUAUUUA
rfam:Brachypodium distachyon strain Bd21 chromosome 4, whole genome shotgun sequence.